CAUGCAAGUCGAACGGGAUCCAUCCUUCGGGAUGGUGAGAGUGGCGGACGGGUGAGUAACGCGUGGGAACCUGCCCAGUGGUGGGGGAUAACUGCGGGAAACUGCAGCUAAUACCGCAUGAGCCCGCAAGGGGAAAGAUUUAUCGCCAUUGGAGGGGCCCGCGUUCGAUUAGGUAGUUGGUGAGGUAAUGGCUCACCAAGCCUUCGAUCGAUAGCUGGUCUGAGAGGAUGAUCAGCCACACUGGGACUGAGAUACGGCCCAGACUCCUACGGGAGGCAGCAGUGGGGAAUAUUGGACAAUGGGGGCAACCCUGAUCCAGCAAUGCCGCGUGAGUGAUGAAGGCCUUCGGGUUGUAAAGCUCUUUUGCCAGGGACGAUGAUGACGGUACCUGGAGAAUAAGCCCCGGCUAACUUCGUGCCAGCAGCCGCGGUAAUACGAAGGGGGCAAGCGUUGUUCGGAAUUACUGGGCGUAAAGGGCGCGUAGGCGGCUUACCAAGUCAGGCGUGAAAUUCCCGGGCUCAACCUGGGGGCUGCGCUUGAUACUGGUGAGCUUGGAUGCGGGAGAGGAUAGUGGAAUUCCCAGUGUAGAGGUGAAAUUCGUAGAUAUUGGGAAGAACACCAGUGGCGAANGCGGCUAUCUGGCCCGUAAUUGACGCUGA
rnacentral:rRNA from 1 species